rnacentral:rRNA from 1 species
CCUGGCUCAGAAUAAACGCUAGUAAUAUGCUUAACACAUGCAAGUCGAACGGAAAAGUUAUUUUCCGUGGCGAACGGGUGAGGAAUGCGUGAGAAUCUACCUUAUAGACCGGAAUAAGUAUAACUUUUAAGUGAACACUUACUUUGUAAGUGGUAUGAAUACCGGAUAAUAGACUAAGUCGCUAUAAGAUGAGCUUUCGUAGGAUUAGGUAGUUGGUAAGGUAAAGGCUUACCAAGCUGAAGAUCCUUAGCUGGUCUGAGAGGAUGAUCAGCCACACUGGGACUGAGACACGGCCCAGACUCCCUUAGGAGGCAGCAGUGAGGAAUCUUGGACAAUGGGCGAAAGCCUGAUCCAGCAAUAUUACGUGAGUGAUGACAGCUAUUUGGUUGUAAAGCUCUUUCACCGAGGAGGACAAUGACAGUACUCGAAGAAGAAGUCCCGGCUAACUCCGUGCCAGCAGCCGCGGUAAUACGGGGGGGACAAGUGUUAUUCGGAAUGACUGGGUGUAAAGAGUCUGUAGGCGGUUUUUUAAGUUGAAAUAUAAAUCUUGUAGCUUGACUUCAAGAAAGGUUUCAAAACUGAAAGACUAGAGUUUGAUAGGGGAAAGUAGAAUUUCUAAUGGAGGGAUAAAAUUCAUAGAGAUUAGAAGGAAUACCAGAGGCGAAGGCGACUUUCUGGAUCAAAACUGACGCUGAGAGACGAAAGCAUGGGUAGCGAACAGGAUUAGAUACCCUGGUAGUCCAUAGCUGUAAACGAUGAGUGCUCGUAUUUAGGGUCAAUCUUAGAUACUAAGCUAACGCGUUAAGCACUCCACCUGGGGAGUACGGUCGCAAGACUGAAACUCAAAGGAAUUGACGGGGGCCCACACAAGCGGUGGAGCAUGUGGUUUAAUUCGACAAUACGCGCAGAACCU